rnacentral:rRNA from 1 species
UACGGAGGGAGCAUAGCAGUUGUUGGAAUUACUGGGCGUAAAGCGUGCGUAGGCGGUUCGUUAAGUCUGUUGUGAAAGCCCCGGGCUCAACCUGGGAAUGGCAAUGGAUACUGGCGAGCUAGAGUGUGUCAGAGGAUGGUGGAAUUCCCGGUGUAGCGGUGAAAUGCGUAGAGAUCGGGAGGAACAUCAGUGGCGAAGGCGGCCAUCUGGGACAACACUGACGCUGAGGCACGAAAGCGUGGGGAGCGAACAGG